rnacentral:tRNA from 1 species
GCCGAGGUAGCUCAGGGGUAGAGCAACGCUUUCGUAAAGCGUGGGUCGUGGGUUCAAUUCCCACCCUCGGCU